rnacentral:lncRNA from 1 species
ACACAACAAACUCACCGCCACACACUGCCCUUCCUGCGACCUUGAAUCCAGAGACCACCAGGCCCAAAAGCCACCUGGAGGAUUUCACUACUGUCUCUGUGGUGGUCAGAAGGGCUGAGAGCAGAACGCAGGAGCCAGAAGACAAUGUCAGAACCCCUUGGAACUGGAGUUACAGACAGGUAGGGAAUCCACAACAGACCAAAGCAUGGAUACGCCCCAAGUCCAACGUGGUGAACCGAUGAAUCUCCAAAGCACAACCUAGACACAGGUGACAUCUCUGGGAACCUGAGCACAAGACACAGCUUCAGCGAGCUCAGCAGGUUGGUCACAGACCAGACAACAAAAGGUUCAUCCUCCUGCCUGACCAUCAUCCAUCCAUCAGCAAGACCAUGCUCCAGUUUGGACUUCCUGGAUUCUGCAGCUUCAUGCAGGAGUUAGAGCAUGUGAGGAGAUCAGCUCGGGUCCAUAGCUGGGCCCACCCACCUGCUUCUCUUCCUGUCCUCAGUGUCACAACAAUACAGGAUUCAGUCGUGAGGAUACCCCAGCCCAUCUGCUCAUUGCUCCACACAGCUACUGCCUCCAGAAGUUGAACACCUGUGACAGAGCCAAUUAUCUAGGGAUAGAGGAGCCAAGAGGCUUGGGUUGCCCUUGAGGCUGUAUUUGGGCCAGCUGAACAGAGACUCCCCGUGUUUCUACACAGAGGCAUGGUCAAGAUGAUCCUGUAGACAUAGUUACCACUCUUAUCUGAGUCGGUGUCCUUGUCCCUUAGAACUUGUGCACAGUAUCUGGGACUGUAAGGGCGGGGCCUGGGUAGAUAUAGACCCAGCCACUCAUUAGCUAAAAUGGAUGGAUGUCCCAGUAAUGUUGACUCCCUUUCUUCCAGCCUUACCUGGGGGCAUUUUGCCAGGAAGAGAAACAGCCUUCUAGUGAGAGACUCCCAUCUGGUGUGAAAUCCUUAGGCCAUUCCAGAGGCAAAGCCAAGGAGGCCUAGAGAGCUUAGCAGAAGAUCUCAAAUGGCCAAUUGGAGGGUGUGGGGUGGUGACUAAACUUUUAAAGAAGUAUGGCCUUAGAAGAGUUUCCAGGCCUUAGAAGAGUCCACUGUCCCCAAGAUGGUCUGAAGUCACGGACAAGAGUGUGGGUAUCAGGUUCUCAUCUGUGCCUGGAUUCAUUAAAGACCCCCAAACUUCUGCACAGCUCAAAUACAAGAGGAAGAGAUUAUUUUUCUCUCACUGUUAUUAUAUUCACCCAUUUUGUAUUACUAUAACACAAUACCUGAGGCCAGGAGACUUAUAACAAACUCUGUUUCGAAACCACAUCCGGUGAUGUUGAUUUUUGACAGGGUUUCCACCAGCACAGGACAGCACAGUGCAGGGCAGGAAAUGCACAGUGUGUUGUCUUGGUCAGUGUUCUACUGCUGUGAAGAGACACCACAGCCAUGGCAGCUCUUAGGAAAGCAUUUACUUGGAACUUGCUUUCAGUUUCAGAAGUUUAGUCCAUUAUCAAAAUGGCACUGAGUAUGAAGACACACAGGCAGACAGGAUGCUGGAGAAGGAGCUGAGAGUUCUGUAUCUGGAUCCGUGGACAGCAGGAGAGACACUGGGACUGGCUUGGAUUUUUGAAACAUCAAAGGAUGCCUGCUUCCCACGUGUGGGGACAGAGGUGCAGAAAAGCAUUUCCCUGAUAUCAAGAUGACAACAUGACCAACUCUGUAGCACCUCACAGAUGAUUUCUACCAGCCUUAGCUACGGAAACCGCACCCCAAGAAGAGCUUUGAAUUAGCCAUAUCCAGAGACCUGAUUCUGCGCACCCAGCACAGAACAAACACCCUUCCCCCAGAGGUCCACUCUAGAUGAGAGAGCUUCCCCAGGGGUUGCUAGCCGCACCUAACUGUCAUAAAGGAUGCUGGCCCCAGAGCUCAGAGCACACCUCCAUUGCACCUCGGUGCCUGCCCCAUGUCUGAGCCCAUGAGUUCUCAUCAGUAUCGCCUCCAGUCUUUUGGGCCUGCUUGGGACCUUUACUUUCUUGGGCUGUGGAACCAUAAUGUACUGACCUCGAAACCAGUCCUGGCUGGGUUACAGCCAGGACAACAAACUUGUUUCCACUGGAGAGCCUGGGUGCAUUCUAGUAGCAGUGAUUUAACCAAAGACCACCCAGACCUGAUUUUACUCACUGCCCCUUGCUACGUCUGAAGGUCUGGGGAAAGCACCCACCUUGGCCUGAGGUGUGUGGCUAUUAGCCUUUCCAGGAAAGUGACGGUGGCAACCGUGGUUAUAAACGUGACCAGUUAACAGAACCUAGCAGCCCUGCCUUCUGUCUGUGCCAGGGUGGAAGCCAGUGGCCCGAGCCGACCAGAAGAUCGCCUGAGCCGAGCAGAUGAGCCAGAGCCAAUCAGAGGAGCACCUGACUCCCAGCUUUAUAUUACCAUUUUUUCCUUUUAAUUUCUUCUUCUCACAUAUAUUACAUCCUGACCACAGUUUCCCCUUCGUCCCCUCCCCCUAGUCUCUUCUCCUUUCACCUUUGCUCAGAAAAGAGCACACCACUCCAGAGCAUCAACCAGACAUGCACAACAAGCUACAGUAAGUAAGACAGGCACAUAUUCUCACAUCGAGGCUGGGCAAGGCCACCCAGUAGGAGGAAAUGAGCCCCAAAGGCAGGCAGAAGAGCCAGAGAGAGCCCCUGUUCCCACUCUUAGGACAAGACCUAGCUCAGACCCCUGCAGGUUCCCUGAUCUCUUUGAGCCCCGUGAGUCCUGGUCAGUUGAUUCUGUGGGCCCUUUUGUGUGAUGUCCUUGAUCCCUGCGGCUACUCCAGCCCUUCUUCCCCCUCUUCUGCAGGACCCCCGAGCUCCGCCUAGCGUUUGGCUGUGGGACAGUGCACCUGUUCCCAUCAGUUGCUUCAUGAAGUCUCCCUGGUCUCUCUGGGGACGAUGAUGCCAGAUUUAAUAACGGGAUGCUACACUCUACAUUUCAUGAAGCAUAUUCAUUAUUUGGUGAUCUCUGCACCUGGGUCACUAGUCCAUCAAUGUCUUCAUUCACAGUUUCCUGUCAAAACUGCUUUUUUUUUUCCUUCGCAGGCAUCAGCUGGACCCCAAGGUGGGGUCUAGGCACUCCAAACCUUCAUGAACCUACACCUUAGUAGCUGUGAGUUUAUUUAUUCUUUUUGUUUGCUUAUUUGUUUGUCUUGAAACCGGCUCUCUCUAUUGUGUCUCUCCGGCUGUCCUGGAACUCACUAUGUUAAGCAGACUGGCCUCACAGAAAUCCACCUACGUCUAGCUUCUAAAUGUUAUUCUAUUUCUUUUAAAACGUAUUUAUCCAUUUAUUUAUUUUGAGACAGACCUCACUACAUGGACAGAGUGCUGGGAUUAAAGAUGCGUGUCACCAUGCCUG